AUGGUUAAGCGAAGAAGAGCGCAGGGUGGAUGCCUUGGCACUGGGAGCCGAUGAAAGACGUGAUAAGCUGCGAAAAGCUUCGGGGAGGGGCAAAUACCCGUCGAUCCGGAGAUAUCUGAAUGGGGAAACCCGCCUGAGAAGCCCUCAGGCAUCCAUACGCCAAUCCAUAACGUAUGGAGGGGAACCCGGGGAACUGAAACAUCUAAGUACCCGGAGGAAGAGAAAGAAACAUCGAUUCCGUAAGUAGCGGCGAGCGAACGCGGAAGAGCCCAAACCGGCAUGCGUGCAUGCCGGGGUUAAGGACCGCAGAGAGGAUCCAGGAAGGUUAACGGAACGGUUUUGGGAAAGCCGGCCGGAGAGGGUGAAAGCCCCGUACGUGAAAACCGGAAUGGCCAAGCGGGAUCCAGAGUACCACGAGACACGUGAAACCUUGUGGGAAGUCGGGGGGACCACCCCCCAAGGCUAAAUACUGCCCAGUGACCGAUAGCGCAUAGUACUGUGAAGGAAAGGUGAAAAGAACCCCGGGAGGGGAGUGAAAGAGAACCUGAAACCCUGUGUUUACAAGCUGUGGGAGCGCUGCAUAUGCGCGACCGCGUACUUUUUGUAGAACGGUCCGGCGAGCUGCGCCGGCUGGCAAGGUUAAGUGCCAAAGGCACGGAGCCGGAGGGAAACCAAGUCUGAAUAGGGCGUUUUAGUCAGCCAGUGCAGGCCCGAAACCGGGUGAUCUAUCCAUGUCCAGGCUGAAGCUGCCGUAAAAGGCAAUGGAGGGCCGAACCCACAUCCGUUGAAAAGGGUGGGGAUGAGG
rnacentral:rRNA from 1 species